rnacentral:rRNA from 1 species
AGCGGCGGAUGGGUGAGUAACACGUGGGGAACCUGCCCCUAAGUCUGGGAUACCAUUUGGAAACAGGUGCUAAUACCGGAUAAUAAAGCAGAUCGCAUGAUCAGCUUUUGAAAGGCGGCGUAAGCUGUCGCUAAGGGAUGGCCCCGCGGUGCAUUAGCUAGUUGGUAAGGUAACGGCUUACCAAGGCGACGAUGCAUAGCCGAGUUGAGAGACUGAUCGGCCACAUUGGGACUGAGACACGGCCCAAACUCCUACGGGAGGCAGCAGUAGGGAAUCUUCCACAAUGGACGCAAGUCUGAUGGAGCAACGCCGCGUGAGUGAAGAAGGUUUUCGGAUCGUAAAGCUCUGUUGUUGGUGAAGAAGGAUAGAGGUAGUAACUGGCCUUUAUUUGACGGUAAUCAACCAGAAAGUCACGGCUAACUACGUGCCAGCAGCCGCGGUAAUACGUAGGUGGCAAGCGUUGUCCGGAUUUAUUGGGCGUAAAGCGAGCGCAGGCGGAAAAACAAGUCUAAUGUGAAAGCCCUCGGCUUAACCGAGGAACUGCAUCGGAAACUGUUUUUCUUGAGUGCAGAAGAGGAGAGUGGAACUCCAUGUGUAGCGGUGGAAUGCGUAGAUAUAUGGAAGAACACCAGUGGCGAAAGCGGCUCUCUGGUCUGCAACUGACGCUGAGGCUCGAAAGCAUGGGUAGCGAACAGGAUUAGAUACCCUGGUAGUCCAUGCCGUAACGAUGAGUGCUAAGUGU